rnacentral:tRNA from 1 species
GAGGAUAUAGCUCAGUGAUAGAGUGCAUGCCCAGCAUGCAUGAAGUCCUGGGUUUGAUCCCCAGCACCUCCA